CAGCCGCCGCGGUAAAACCAGCACCUCAAGUGGUCAGGAUGAUUAUUGGGCCUAAAGCAUCCGUAGCCGGCUCUGUAAGUUUUCGGUUAAAUCUGUACGCUUAACGUACAGGCUGCCGGGAAUACUGCAGAGCUAGGGAGUGGGAGAGGUAGACGGUACUCGGUAGGAAGGGGUAAAAUCCUUUGAUCUAUUGAUGACCACCUGUGGCGAAGGCGGUCUACCAGAACACGUCCGACGGUGAGGGAUGAAAGCUGGGGGAGCAAACCGGAUUAGAUACCCGGGUAGUCCCAGCUGUAAACUAUGCAAACUCAGUGAUGCAUUGACUUGUGGUCAAUGCAGUGCUGCAGGGAAGCCGUUAAGUUUGCCGCCUGGGAAGUACGUACGCAAGUAUGAAACUUAAAGGAAUUGGCGGGGGAGCAC
rnacentral:rRNA from 2 species